GACGAACGCUGGCGGCGUGCCUAAUACAUGCAAGUAGGACGCAGUUGCGAACGGGUGAGUAACGCCUAGGUAACUGCCUAUUAGAGGGGGAUAACUAUUGGAAACGACAGCUAAUACCGCAUACUAUUAGCUGGACCUUCGUUGUAUUAGCUAGUAGGUCGGGUAAUGGCCUACCUAGGCGACGAUACAUAGCCGGCCUGGGAAGGUGAACGGGCAAAAUGGGAAUGGGGCAAGGGCCAGACUCCUGCGGGAGGCAACAAGAGGGGAACUUCGGAAAAGGGGGGAAAGCUGACCGAGCAACGCCGCGUGGGUGGAGGAGGUUUUCGGAUCGUAAAGCUAUGUUGUUAAGGAAGCGGUACUUAACCAGAAAGGGACGGCUAACUACGUGCCAGCAGCCGCGGUAAUAC
rnacentral:rRNA from 1 species